rnacentral:rRNA from 1 species
UACGGGGGGGGCAAGCGUUGUUCGGAAUUACUGGGCGUAAAGGGCUCGUAGGCGGCCAACUAAGUCAUACGUGAAAUCCCUCGGCUUAACCGGGGAACUGCGUCUGAUACUGGAUGGCUUGAGUGUGGGAGAGGGAUGCGGAAUUCCAGGUGUAGCGGUGAAAUGUGUAGAUAUCUGGAGGAACACCGGUGGCGAAGGCGGCAUCCUGGACCAUUACUGACGCUGAGUGAGCGAAAGCCAGGGGAGCAAAUGGG